rnacentral:rRNA from 1 species
GGAGACUCUGUGCGCGUGCAUAUCAAUAAGCGGAGGAAAAGGAAACUAACUAGGAUUCCCUUAGUAACGGCGAGUGAAGCGGGAAGAGCUCAAAUUUGAAAUCUUCAAGGUUUUACCUUGACGAAUUGUAGUUUAAAGAAGUGUUUUCCGUUGGAGUUUUGGUAAAAGUUCUUUGGAAUAGGACAUCAUAGAGGGUGAGAAUCCCGUAUUUGACCAUUAUUUCCAGCUGUGUGAUACACUUUCCAAGGAGUCGGAUUGUUUGGGAAUGCAGUCCAAAAUGGGUGGUAAAUUUCAUCUAAAGCUAAAUAUUGGCGAGAGACCGAUAGCGAACAAGUACCGUGAGGGAAAGAUGAAAAGAACUUUGAAAAGAGAGUUAAACAGUACGUGAAAUUGUCAAAAGGGAAGCGUUUGACACCAGUGUUGUUUUCUCGAAAAUCAAUUAAAAAUGGUCGGAUUUUGUGUUGUAUUGACUUUAUCAGCUUUCUGCACUUUUUUCCUGUCUUUUUUAAUGCACUUUUCGUUUAACAAGUCAACAUCAAUUUCUUUUGUUGUAAAAGGGUCAUUGGAAGGUGGCUUUCUUUUCGGAGAAAGUGUUUAUAGCCUUUGGCCUCUGCAAUCGGAGAGAUUGAGGUCUGCAGCGUAGAUCCUUCGGGGUUAGAUACGUUGGUGCUAAGUUAUAGCUUUUCAUAGACAACUUGUUGACUAUGUUUAGUCUUGUAGCUUACUCGCUGACGCUAUUUUACCUACGCUUAGGAUGUUGAUCUGUAGUGCGUGCGC